AGAGUUUGAUCAUGGCUCAGGACGAACGCUGGCGGCGUGCCUAAUACAUGCAAGUAGAACGCUGAAGUCUGGUGCUUGCACUAGACGGAUGAGUUGCGAACGGGUGAGUAACGCGUAGGUAACCUGCCUCAUAGCGGGGGAUAACUAUUGGAAACGAUAGCUAAUACCGCAUAACAGUAUUAACCGCAUGGUAGAUACUUGAAAGGAGCAAUUGCUUCACUAUGAGAUGGACCUGCGUUGUAUUAGCUAGUUGGUGAGGUAGCGGCUCACCAAGGCAUCGAUACAUAGCCGACCUGAGAGGGUGAUCGGCCACACUGGGACUGAGACACGGCCCAGACUCCUACGGGAGGCAGCAGUAGGGAAUCUUCGGCAAUGGGGGCAACCCUGACCGAGCAACGCCGCGUGAGUGAAGAAGGUUUUCGGAUCGUAAAGCUCUGUUGUAAGAGAAGAACUGUGAGAAGAGUGGAAAGUUUCUCAUUUGACGGUAUCUUACCAGAAAGGGACGGCUAACUACGUGCCAGCAGCCGCGGUAAUACGUAGGUCCCGAGCGUUGUCCGGAUUUAUUGGGCGUAAAGCGAGCGCAGGCGGUUUGAUAAGUCUGAAGUAAAAGGCUGUGGCUUAACCAUAGUACGCUUUGGAAACUGUCAAACUUGAGUGCAGAAGGGGAGAGUGGAAUUCCAUGUGUAGCGGUGAAAUGCGUAGAUAUAUGGAGGAACACCGGUGGCGAAAGCGGCUCUCUGGUCUGUAACUGACGCUGAGGCUCGAAAGCGUGGGGAGCGAACAGGAUUAGAUACCCUGGUAGUCCACGCCGUAAACGAUGAGUGCUAGGUGUUGGGUCCUUUCCGGGACUCAGUGCCGCAGCUAACGCAUUAAGCACUCCGCCUGGGGA
rnacentral:rRNA from 1 species